rnacentral:misc_RNA from 1 species
GCUCUCAUCGACCACGUGCAGAAAGUACACGAAAAGAAUGGUGUUAUGAACAUGACAAUCGAUGUCUGCCCGAGGUGUAGUAAAGGUUUUCGAGAUCCUGUUGCCCUUGUGGAACAUGUUGAAAGGGAACAUAAAGGAAGUUCUAUGUAAAGAAGCAAACAACAACGGAUGUAUACAAACCUUACUCCUACUUUUGCGAGGGUAGAAAGGCUGUUUCCAUUUUUUUUUCUAUGUAAAGAAGCAAAAGUACAUAAUAU